CUUGGUCAUUUAGAGGAAGUAAAAGUCGUAACAAGGUUUCCUUCACCUAUUGAAGCCUUCAGCAGCGACUGUAAAGAAAUGCGUAGUUUGCUUGCAAGCAAUGCCACUCAAAUGCUGAGACAUAUGAAUCAGCAGCCUUUUAGGCUCACAGAUCAAAUUGUGGUAACCAUUCUUAUGGGCAAGAUAUGACCGGUCUUAACUAGAGUUAGUUAAGAAUCCACGUUCCGUAGGUGAACCUGCGGAAGGAUCAUUAAAGGUUUCGGGUACCCAGUGCCCAAACUUCAACCCUAUGUUUUAACUAUACAUGUUUCUUUGCCGGUUUCGGCCGGCAGAAGUUUUCUCAAACUCCACUAUAAAUGUGUCUUCUGAAUCAAAAUUAAAUAAAUUAAAACUUUCAACAACGGAUCUCUUGGUUCUGGCAUCGAUGAAGAACGCAGCGAAAUGCGAUAAGUAAUGUGAAUUGCAGAAUUCAGUGAAUCAUCGAAUCUUUGAACGCAUAUUGCGCCCUUUGGCAUUCCGAAGGGCAUACCUGUUCGAGCGUCAUUACACCCUUCAAAGAUGACUCUUUGGCGUUGGGCAAUGCCUAAGGGCAUGCCUCAAAAUCAGCGAUGGUGAUAUUCAACCACAGACGCACACACGUCGUCUAGCUGGCGGGAUGUUGACAGUCAAUUGAUGAAUUUCUAAAUGUUGACCUCGGAUCAGGUAGGAAUACCCGCUGAACUUAAGCAUAUCAAUAAGCGGAGGA
rnacentral:rRNA from 1 species